UAUCACCGACCCCACCAGUUGUCCCAUGCCCGGACACGGCCCCAAAGCCAUCGCCUCCGGUUCUCCCGACGU
rnacentral:sRNA from 1 species